ACAAAAAAAAAUUGGAAAGAUACAGAGAAGUUUAGCAUGGCCCCUGCGCAAGGAUGACACAAGGAUGACGCAUUCCAUAUUAAA
rnacentral:snRNA from 1 species